rnacentral:piRNA from 1 species
GGAGACCAAGAAAAGAUAGAAUGAA